GCAGUUCAAAUCUCACCAGGCUCAAGGUUGCCUCAGCCUUCCAUCCGAGAAAGCUAAAAGAAAAAGAGCAGGGACGUGUAUAUGAGCCAACAGAUGAAAUGGCGGAUGCAAAAUAAAUAUGGGAAAAAUAUAUUAAGAUGAAGAAUCGGAAUGAGGAACAUUCUGGGGAGAAUUUGAUUUUCAACUAUAUUCAAACUAUGUAUCCAUUUGGAAGAGAAUAGAUUUAUCAAAAGAAUGGAAGGAUGAGUCAGCUAAACAAAGAAAAUGAAUAAUGGAUGAAUGCUAUAUAUGUGCACCUGCAUAUGUGUGAAGAUCAAUGGAUGAGUUUAUAAAGAUAAAAGAUGGAUGGUGCCUGCCUGCUUGUAUACCCAAGAGACAAGAUUGCUACAGAUAAGGAUAGAGAGAGAGAAUAAAGUUUUCCACGUGUGACCACUCCCUCCCCCUCCUCUGGAAAAUAAAGUGUCUAUAAGGGAGAAGACACAUGUGAAAUGACUCUGGACCUUCUGAAUGCUGGCAAUGAUCCUGUUCACAACCAAUCCCAACCUUGCUCACUUAUUGUGCUACAGGUAAGACUGGGCCAUAGGACUAAAGUCCAAGAAUCUGUAGCACACGAGGACUCAGAGGUGACCAUACAAAGUGACAGACGAUGGAAGCAGCAACAAGGCCCACCAUAACAUUUGGGCUGAAAAAAGGCAUCAGUUCCAAUCUCUAUGCCUGCCAGUGUUUUUUGAUAGUUUGAUAGCUAUGUGAUCAUGUACAUUUUUGUAUGUGGAUGACACUGAACUGAAUAUUGCCAUCCCAUGGAGAGCUGAAAAUGCUGUUAUAAGUCUUGAACUAGUAUCUGAAGGUGGUAAGCAAUGGAAAGAAACAAGCCCAGAUUAAUAUUAUCAAGAUGGAGUUGUGUUUUGUUAAUAAGCAACCAGGAAUAUUAGUCUUCAAAAUACUAUGCCUCCUGUGGAGGAGCUGGUCCCUUUAGACGCACAACUCCUGCUAGAAUAACAGAUGGAAGCUGUGACCCAUCACACAGCUGCAGAAUUUACAUCAGCUGUCAUGCCCCAGCAUAUAACUUUUUGUAUACUGUUGUUGCUCUCUCAGUGGCCUGAGGAACAAGUACCAAGUACAUUGUUUAAAGCUGACCAAACCCAUUUUACCCAUCAACCCGCACUCUCAAACCAAGAGCACGCUGGGAAGCCAGACUCCAUUUCCUUUAGCAUUUGGAGAUCCAUCUUAAUCUGUGGCACAGGAUCAUCCAAGGACAAACCCUUCCCACACACGGAGCAUCCCUGGUGAGAUUUAAAUUGCUUGUAUUUAUUAAUUGUUAUGUUCAGCAGUAACAUAAUACUGUCAAUCUUG